CCCCAUGAAGCCAUUUCAAUAGCUACUAAGGCAGUUUCGUCAGUACUGUUCCUAAUCUCUAACGGUUCCAUUUCACAAAUUUUGCGUCUUAACGUUCAUCAAUAACAUCAGUUCAACACGGGACUUAAAAAACAGUUCUACAUGGCAAAAAACAGCUUGGAACAAGUCUUCUAUUUACCACCAGAGGCACAUGAUGGUACAUACAACCUUACUGAAGCUAAAGAAUGUCAGAGGAAUCGAAUGGAGUGCAAUCGCUUUGAAUAACACAGUCAUGGCAAGUCUAGUCACCAAACAAAGACAACUAAUUGAAAUAUUUUUAAUACGAAACCACAAGGAAAGAGAGUCAACCGCGCGUGGCGUCGACGGUACUUUCAUUGGGCUGAUACGACAAUUCGGGGCUACAUCAAAAUGCUGCGAAAAUUUUCUCGCGGCUUCGACUUUUCAACGUUUUAAUUCAAAGUUUAAUUUCAGUUCUUUAAGGAACUAUAAAUCGUUGGAAGGUUCAAACUAAAAUUUCGCUCCAAGCCCUGAAAGGCGCGGCUACUCAGGCAAACAACGCCUUAGACGAUGUGCCUCAAAAUCAAAAAUGGCUACCAAAUUCAGUGAUACUCAAAGUCCCAGAGUUGUAGCAGGCCAGCCAGAUGGACAAAGGAACCUCC